AUGGUUGUCGUCAGCUCGUGUCGUGAGAUGUUGGGUUAAGUCCGCAACGAGCGCAACCCUCGACCUUAGUUGCCAGCAUUCAGUUGGGCACUCUAAGGUGACUGCCGGCUAAAAGUCGGAGGAAGGUGGGGAUGACGUCAAAUCAUCAUGCCCCUUAUGACCUGGGCUACACACGUGCUACAAUGGGCGGUACAAAGGGUCGCGAACCCGCGAGGGGGAGCCAAUCCCAAAAAGCCGCUCUCAGUUCGGAUUGCAGGCUGCAACUCGCCUGCAUGAAGCCGGAAUCGCUAGUAAUCGCGGAUCAGCAUGCCGCGGUGAAUACGUUCCCGGGCCUU
rnacentral:rRNA from 1 species